rnacentral:rRNA from 1 species
CCCUGGUAGUCCACGCCCUAAACGAUGUCUACUAGUUGUCGGGUCUUAAUUGACUUGGUAACGCAGCUAACGCGUGAAGUAGACCGCCUGGGGAGUACGGUCGCAAGAUUAAAACUCAAAGGAAUUGACGGGGACCCGCACAAGCGGUGGAUGAUGUGGAUUAAUUCGAUGCAACGCGAAAAACCUUACCUACCCUUGACAUGUACAGAAUCCCGAAGAGAUUUGGGAGUGUUCGAAAGAAAACUGUAACACAGGUGCUGCAUGGCUGUCGUCAGCUCGUGUCGUGAGAUGUUGGGUUAAGUCCCGCAACGAGCGCAACCCUUGUCAUUAGUUGCUACGAAAGGGCACUCUAAUGAGACUGCCGGUGACAAACCGGAGGAAGGUGGGGAUGACGUCAAGUCCUCAUGGCCCUUAUGGGUAGGGCUUCACACGUCAUACAAUGGUACAUACAGAGGGCCGCCAACCCGCGAGGGGGAGCUAAUCCCAGAAAGUGUAUCGUAGUCCGGAUUGUAGUCUGCAACUCGACUACAUGAAGUUGGAAUCGCUAGUAAUCGCGGAUCAGCAUGUCGCGGUGAAUACGUUCCCGGGUCUUGUACACACCGCCCGUCACACCAUGGGAGCGGGUUUUACCAGAAGUAGGUAGCCUAACCGUAAGGAGGGCGCUUACCACGGUAGGAUUCGUGACUGGGGUGAAGUCGUAACAAGGUAACCGUA